rnacentral:rRNA from 1 species
AUUGAACGCUGGCGGCAGGCCUAACACAUGCAAGUCGAGCGGAUGAAGGGAGCUUGCUCCUGGAUUCAGCGGCGGACGGGUGAGUAAUGCCUAGGAAUCUGCCUGGUAGUGGGGGAUAACGUCCGGAAACGGGCGCUAAUACCGCAUACGUCCUGAGGGAGAAAGUGGGGGAUCUUCGGACCUCACGCUAUCAGAUGAGCCUAGGUCGGAUUAGCUAGUUGGUGGGGUAAAGGCCUACCAAGGCGACGAUCCGUAACUGGUCUGAGAGGAUGAUCAGUCACACUGGAACUGAGACACGGUCCAGACUCCUACGGGAGGCAGCAGUGGGGAAUAUUGGGCAAUGGGCGAAAGCCUGAUCCAGCCAUGCCGCGUGUGUGAAGAAGGUCUUCGGAUUGUAAAGCACUUUAAGUUGGGAGGAAGGGCAGUAAGUUAAUACCUUGCUGUUUUGACGUUACCAACAGAAUAGGCACCGGCUAACUUCGUG